AGUGAACGCUGGCGGCGUGCCUAAUACAUGCAAGUCGAACGAUGAAGUCCUAGCUUGCUAGGAUGGAUUAGUGGCGCACGGGUGAGUAAUAUAUAGUUAAUCUGCCCUACACAGAGGAACAACAGUUGGAAACGACUGCUAAUACCUCAUACUCCUAUUUGACAUAAGUUAAAUAGGGAAAGUCUUUUCGGUGUAGGAUGAGACUAUAUCGUAUCAGCUAGUUGGUAAGGUAAUGGCUUACCAAGGCUAUGACGCGUAACUGGUCUGAGAGGAUGAUCAGUCACAUUGGAACUGUGCCACUGUCCAAACUCCUACGCGAGGCAGCAGAAAGGAAUAUUGCGCAAUGGGGGAAACCCUGACGCAGCAACGCCGCGUGGAGGAUGACACUUUUCGGAGCGUAAACUCCUUUUAUCAGGAAAGAAUAAUGACGGUACCUGAUGAAUAAGCACCGGCUAACUCCGUG
rnacentral:rRNA from 1 species